CUUGUUUUAUAAGAAAAGACAUAUUAGUUACAAAUUUUUAUUUCUGAAAUAAUGUCGGAUAAUAAUGUAAAUAUUAUCCAGGAAAUAAAUAAAUUAAAUUUGGAGUUAAAAAGGAAAUUGGAAGUAGUCUCAAAAUGGAGAGUCGAAUGUGCUCAAUUGCAACUAGAAUUUCUAAAGUUGUACACUCCAGAAUGUCUUGAAAUUUUCGAAUCGCUUAAACAAAUGACUGACAUGAGUAUCGAUUCGAAUACUAAGUUUAAUAAUCCUUAAUUAUUAAAAAAUACUUUCUUAUUAAUGUACUAUCACGAUUUUCAAUAAACGAUAUGAGACAAUUA